GCGUAUGUAUAGCGCGUUCGGCUGUUAACCGAAAGAUGGGUGGUUCGAGCCCACC
rnacentral:tRNA from 1 species